rnacentral:tRNA from 2 species
GCGGAAGUGGCGGAACGGCAGACGCGCCAGCUUGAGGGGCUGGUGGGCCAAUGGCCCGUGGGGGUUCAAAUCCCCCCUUCCGCACCA